GGAUUCGAGGGUUCACCAAGGUAU
rnacentral:siRNA from 1 species